GGUGAAAAUUUGAUGACCCCCACAGCAGACAAACAACGGCGAAAGCAUUCAUCAAUUACUUCUUCUUUAAUCAAGAACGAAAGUUAGAGUAGCAAAGGCCAUUAGAUGCAGCUGUAGUUUUAACCAUAAACGAUGACAUCUCAGGAUAUCAUUGAUGGGGUUUUCUGUAUACUCGUUCGUCGCCAUUCCUUUUACCGGGGGUGGUGCGCGGCGAGUGUAUAAACUCACAAACCCCUUGUACGCUUGAUACACAGGAGUAAUCUUGUAUAUCGCCAAGUCCAAUGACGCACUGUGUGGGAAACCAACAAGCUGCCUUCGUGGAGUGUAUUUUGGCAACGAAGAAAUUUAAAAGAAUUGACGGAAGUAUCACCACCAGGAGUGGAUCGUGCGGCUUAAUUUGACUCAACGCGGGAAAUCUCACCAGAGCCGAACACCGUGAGGAAAGACAGACUGCAGCUCUUUCUUGAUUCUGUGAUUGUCAAAUGUAGUGCAUGGCCUUUGGGAAGUGGGUACUGUGAAGUCGCUCAUUAAUUUAGAUAACCAGCGAGACCUCAUCCUUGAUCUCGUCGAUUCCGGCAAGCAAUUGUCGCGGCGAGAUGUUGUAAAUACAUGUCGAGUGGGCUUGUCCUACCCGGGAAGUAUUCUUUACCGAAUAUGCAUGUUCUUAAAGGAACUACUGGUGUUUUAACCAGGGGAAGCUUGAGGCGAUAAAAGGUCCGUGAUGCUCUCAGAUGUUCUGGGCCGCUCGCGCGCUACACUGCUUUGAUCAGAAAGUUUUUUGUACAUUUCGAUUUUGUUUGCCUGGGUUAAACUGGGUGGACCGGAAUUACACCUUGCUCGAGAGGGCCGGGAACUCUUGGAAAUCGAACUGUGCUAAGGAUAGACGAUUGUAAUUAUUUGUCUUGAAUGAGGAAUUCCUAGUAAAUGCAAGUCAUCAACUUGCGUUGAAUACGUUUCUGGUCUUUGUACACACCGCCCGUCGCUGUUACCGAUUGGAUGGCUCAAUGAGUAGCAAGGAGGUUGUCUUUGAGAUGAUUGAAUUGCCUCGAAUCGUGUCAUCUAGAGAAGCAAAGUC
rnacentral:rRNA from 1 species